rnacentral:rRNA from 1 species
UACAGAGGGUGCGAGCGUUGUUCGGAAUUAUUGGGCGUAAAGGGCGCGUAGGCGGUGCGGUAAGUCACCUGUGAAAUCUCCUGGCUCAACUGGGAGCUUGCAGGCGAAACUGCCGUGCUGGAGUGUGGGAGAGGUGCGUGGAAUUCCUGGUGUAGCGGUGAAAUGCGUAGAUAUCAGGAGGAACACCGGUGGCGAAGGCGGGACUCUGGGCCGAUACUGACGCUGAGGAGCGAAAGCGUGGGGAGCAAACAGG